rnacentral:rRNA from 1 species
AGAACGAACGCUGGCGGCAUGCCUAAUACAUGCAAGUCGAACGAACUCUUCGGAGUUAGUGGCGCACGGGUGCGUAACGCGUGGGAAUCUGCCCCUUGGUUCGGAAUAACAGUUGGAAACGACUGCUAAUACCGGAUGAUGACGAAAGUCCAAAGAUUUAUCGCCAAGGGAUGAGCCCGCGUAGGAUUAGCUAGGUUGGUGAGGUAAAGGCUCGACCAAGGCAACGAUCCUUAGCUGGUCUGAGAGGAUGAUCAGACCACGACUGGGACUGAGACCACGGCCAGACUCUACGGAGCAGCAGAGGAUAUGACAAGUGGCGAAAGCUGAUCAGACAAUGCGCGUGAGUGAUGAAGGUCCUAGGUUAGUAAAGCUCUUUACCGUAGAC